UACGGAGGAUGCGAGCGUUAUCCGGAUUUAUUGGGUUUAAAGGGUGCGUAGGCGGACUGUCAAGUCAGCGGUAAAAAUGCGGUGCUCAACGCCGUCGAGCCGUUGAAACUGGCGUUCUUGAGUGGGCGAGAAGUAUGCGGAAUGCGUGGUGUAGCGGUGAAAUGCAUAGAUAUCACGCAGAACUCCGAUUGCGAAGGCAGCAUACCGGCGCCCUACUGACGCUGAGGCACGAAAGCGUGGGUAUCGAACAGG
rnacentral:rRNA from 1 species